rnacentral:rRNA from 1 species
UACGUAGGGGGCAAGCGUUGUCCGGAUUCAUUGGGCGUAAAGAGCGUGUAGGCGGCCAGGUAGGUCCGUUGUGAAAACUCGAGGCUCAACCUCGAGACGUCGAUGGAAACCAUCUGGCUAGAGUCCGGAAGAGGAGAGUGGAAUUCCUGGUGUAGCGGUGAAAUGCGCAGAUAUCAGGAGGAACACCGGUGGCGAAGGCGGAUCUCUGGGCCUGAUCUGACGCUGAGGCGCGAAAGCUAGGGGAGCGAACAGG